rnacentral:rRNA from 1 species
UGCCAGACUCCUACGGGAGGCAGCAGUGAGGAAUAUUGGUCAAUGGCCGAGAGGCUGAACCAGCCAAGUCGCGUGAGGGAAGACGGCCCUACGGGUUGUAAACCUCUUUUGUCGGGGAGCAAAGCGAGUCACGUGUGACUCAUUGAGAGUACCCGAAGAAUAAGCAUCGGCUAACUCCGUGCCAGCAGCCGCGGUAAUACGGAGGAUGCGAGCGUUAUCCGGAUUUAUUGGGUUUAAAGGGUGCGUAGGCGGUUUUUUAAGUUAGUGGUUAAACGUCGGGGCUUCACCUUGAUUUGCCAUUAAUACUGUAAGACUCGAGUUCAGACGAGGUAGGCGGAAUAAGUUAAGUAGCGGUGAAAUGCCUAGAUAUAACUUAGAACUCCGAUAGCGAAGGCAGCUUACCAGACUGCGACUGACGCUGAAGCACGAGAGCGUGGGUAGCGAACAGGAUUAGAUACCCGGGUA